GAUUAGAACCUUCAGGUUCAAAGGUGGCACUGCUGAUGAAACUCCUUCUUUUGUGCAGAUUUUCAUCCUGAGGAAGGUUGAGAAACACCCAAACAGGAAAGGGGGCAGUGCAGGAAAUGAGCCUGCCGGCGGUUCUGCGAGACUCCGAAGUUCGCCCUUUUCCGAAGGUCACCUGGCUGCCAGAGGCAACCCCCCCCCCCCGGGUUGGGGCAGAAAGGCAGAGCCGGCAAGACCGAGGCGUGACCCACUUCCAUCGGAAGGCCGAGGAAAACACCCGUCUGAGAGACCGGCCACGCCGGAUGGCCGGGGAAUCUCGGACGAUGCCCGUUUUUUUUCAGGUUUUCACGAGUGGCAAGCGGUCGACUUCCUUGGCCUUCCUCGUCCCUGGCACUGACGACGACAGAGUGACCAGACCAGCCCGAGGUUGAGGACGUGGAGCGGGAGAAACAGACAGAAAAUGAGAGAGGUCCAUAGACCUAUGAGCUGUAACCCUGAAUGGUAAAAUAAAGCUAGCGUGUGGACUACA